rnacentral:rRNA from 1 species
GACGAACGCUGGCGGCGUGCCUAACACAUGCAAGUCGAACGGAAAGGCCCUGAUUUUGUGCGGUGGUCGAGUGCCGAACGGGUGAGUAACACGUGAGUAACCUGUACCUGACUUUGGGGUAUCUUCAGGAAACUGGGGCUCAUACCGGCUAGGAUCUAUUGCUGCAUGGUGGGGGUUGGUAAGUUUCGGCGGUUGGGGAUGGACUGGCGGCUUAUCAGCUUGUUGGUGGGGUAGUGGCUUACCAAGGCUUUGAAUGGUAGCCGGCCUGAGAGGGGGACCUGCCACAUUAGGACUGAGAUACGGCCCAGCCGCCUAUGGUAGGCAGCGGUGGAGAAGAUUGCACAAUAGGCGGAAGCCUGAUGCGACAACGCCGCGUGCGGGAUGACGUCCUUCUGGUUGUAAACCACUGUCGCCUGUGACGAGGCGUUAGUGACGGUAAUGGGUAAAGAAGCACCGGCUAACUACGUG